UUUUUAAGGAUGUUGGGUUA
rnacentral:snRNA from 1 species